UGCGAUGAGUCGAGUAAGCACGCAACUUGUGCUGAAAGCUGCAGCUGACUGGUUAAAAGCCACCCGCCGGAUUUGUGGGGUCAGCGAUCUCAAGGUUGUGGAGCCA
rnacentral:ncRNA from 1 species